UUCAUAUAUAAGGAUGAACUCAAUCGUCACACAAUUGGUUUUAGGACAUAAUUCCCAACUACUCCCAUUUGGACUAAAGCCAAUCGGGGCAGUAUCUUAUACCCAUCUUCCAUUUGAAGUCAUCGAACUCUUUGAUACCGAGAGCUUUAGUGAAGGGAUCGGCUAGGUUCUUUUUUCUGUCGAUCUUCUGAAGCUUGACAUCACCUCGGUUCAUGAUCUCUCGCACUAGAUGAUAGCAGAACAUGUUCAGUGUGAUGGUGCGACUAAGGUUCUUUCGCCUGAGCUAUGGCACUGGAGCUAUCACAAUACAAUAGGACAGGACCAUCAAUGGAAGGUACAACUCUCAUUUCGAUAAUAAACUUUUACAACCACAUCACCUCC
rnacentral:lncRNA from 1 species